rnacentral:rRNA from 1 species
GGAGGGCAAGUCUGGUGCCAGCAGCCGCGGUAAUUCCAGCUCCAAUAGCGUAUAUUAAAAUUGUUGCAGUUAAAAAGCUCGUAGUUGAAUUUCUGCUGCAUUGCUUUUGCUCCUUUACGAGUCUUUGCAUUGUGGCUUAUUUCGGACUUUGUUUUACAAUGUCCGGAUGUUUACUUUGAGAAAAUUAGAGUGCUCAAAGCAGGCUUUCGCCUUGAAUAGUUUAGCAUGGAAUAAUAAAGUAGGACUUUGGUUCUAUUUUGUUGGUUUUAGGUACCAAAGUAAUGGUUAAUAGGAACAGUUGGGGGCAUUCGUAUUUAACUGUCAGAGGUGAAAUUCUUAGAUUUGUUAAAGACGAACUACUGCGAAAGCAUUUGCCAAGGAUGUUUUCAUUAAUCAAGAACGAAAGU